UGCAGUUCUGCUGCUAGCUGUGAACUAUUGGACACAGAUCCUGGUGUCCUUAUUUGUCUUUUCACGCUUGUCACGGAACCAUUCCUGUCCUACACUGAGACUUCUUGCAAGAGGAAUGCACUUCUUUAAAAUGUAACAUUCAUCAUCAAAAACAAUGGGCAAAACCAUGGAUGAGCAGCCCAGAUGAAGGAAAAUUACCUGCUCUACCAAAGCAUGAGGACCUGCACACAUGGGAGGUUGUCCCCAUUCAGCAGUUUCUUCCAGCUGCUCUCUGAAGCUGAGAAAAAAUCCGUAUGCUGAACUAUUUGGAAACAUUCCCUUGAAAAAUCCCAGCAAACAUUUGAAAAUCCAGUAAAUUAAAGUCAGCAUCUUUCACCUGGAAUUCUUCAUAUCUAAUGAGUAUUUGAAAACUAAUAUAAGGAAGUUUAGAAAAACCCCAAGAAUUUCCAUGAAAGGACUCUUCAGUUUCUGGCCAGUACUGACAGUAUGAGCUCUACCACCAAUUAUCAAAAAGCUUGUCUGCCCAGUUUUCUCCUGGCUCAUUUUGAGAUUUGACCUCAUCUCCAUUUUCUGCAAACACAGGCCAGUAGUCAGAUGUCUGAUACCACUCUGGUCUUGUAUCUCUUUGCUUACAGCUUUACUUCAGUUAUAAGGAGCAUGUGCACAUCUAAAGCAUUUUGAGUUGCCAGUAAUCACCUUUGCAUUUGUCUUCAGAACCCCAGGGAGAUAAAUACACACACAAAACACUACCUCAACCAGCCUGAGCUAGCGAUGACUGAGCACAGUCACUAUGCAGAUAUCUCAGCACAGACCAUAGAGGUUUGGCAACCUAUUCAGCCACCAGAAGAGGCCAAGACCCUGCUUGAGGAAUAAAAUCCUCACAUUCAGUAAGAAGCCUUAAAAUGUAAUUUUUUAAACCUCAAAAUUAUCUUGCUCAGCUCUGUUAGCUUCAGCAGUUAGGAGUGGACUGAGUUCAGAGGUAGAUAUACCAAAACUCCACAGAAAAAAAACCACUCACAUGAAAUUCAGAGACAACUAAUGUCAGGAAAUCUUACAGAAAUGUUUGUCCCAUGAAGAUAUUUCUCCAGUCAAAGAAGACAAAGUUCAUGGAAUGAAAAACAUCCAAGCAAUACUGUAUUUGUGCCCUUUGGAAGUCCAUCUAUAGCCUCUGCAUGUCCUAUCCUUUAAAAAAUAAAAAGGAAUUUUACAUGGU